rnacentral:tRNA from 1 species
GCUGAAAUAGCUCAGUUGGGAGAGCGUCAGGCUUUAGGGCGAGGGACCCUGGUUCGAUCCUGGAUUGCGGCA